UCCAGACUCCUACGGGAGGCAGCAGUGAGGAAUAUUGGUCAAUGGGCGAGAGCCUGAACCAGCCAAGUCGCGUGAGGGAAGACGGCCCUACGGGUUGUAAACCUCUUUUGUCAGGGAGCAAGAACGGAUACGUGUAUCCGAGCGAGAGUACCUGAAGAAAAAGCAUCGGCUAACUCCGUGCCAGCAGCCGCGGUAAUACGGAGGAUGCGAGCGUUAUCCGGAUUUAUUGGGUUUAAAGGGUGCGCAGGCGGCCCGGCAAGCCGGCGGUCAAAUCGCGGGGCUCAACCCCGCCCAGCCGUCGGAACUGCCGGGCUAGAGUGGGCGAGAAGUGCGCGGAAUGCGUGGUGUAGCGGUGAAAUGCAUAGAUAUCACGCAGAACUCCGAUUGCGAAGGCAGCGCACCGGCGCCCUACUGACGCUCAGGCACGAAAGCGUGGGUAUCGAACAGGAUUAGAUACCCCGGUAUA
rnacentral:rRNA from 1 species